AUGAGGAGUUUGCAGGAAACGGAAAGAAUCCCGUCGAUAAUGGUGACGGAUUUCGUGUCCGUGCCGUGCGUCGUCGCUGUCAGGCAAGGCACGCCAAGCCCGCAAGUGAAAAGGGGGGCGUCCACCCCUCCCUUCCCUUCCCCGCACCCACCCCAACCAAAGCCCACUUCUUUGCCCCCACUUGGCCUUCUUCUCCUUCCCCGCGAGGCGACCGACGCGGAGGGUAGGAGGAUGUGCGAGGGGCGGCGCCCCGGGCACGCGACCCGGCCGCCGUGGGCGCUGGCGGAGCUGGAGCGGGCCCGGGCGCGCGCCGCCGAGCUGCAGCGCCGCCUGGAGGAGAACUACGGCAAGCGGCGCCGGCUCAAGCGGGUGGUGGCCGCCACCCGCUCCCGGAUCCACGACACCCGCGCGCUCCUCCAGGACCACCAGGACCCACACCCGCCGCCGCAGCAGCAGCAGCUCCCCGCCGAAUCCGAUCCCACCUCCUAG
rnacentral:rRNA from 1 species